GAUGAACGCUGGCGGCGUGCCUAAUACAUGCAAGUAGAACGAGUUGCGAACGGGUGAGUAACGCGUGGUAACCUGCCUCAUAGCGGGGGAUAACUAUUGGAAACGAUAGCUAAUACCGCCUAGCUAUGGAUGGACCUGCGUUGUAUUAGCUAGUUGGUGAGGUAAAGGCUCACCAAGGCGACGAUACAUAGCCGACCUGAGAGGGUGAUCGGCCACACUGGAACUGAGACACGGCCCAGACUCCUACGGGAGGCAGCAGUGGGGAAUAUUGCACAAUGGGCGCAAGCCUGAUGCAGCCAUGCCGCGUGUAUGAAGAAGGCCUUCGGGUUGUAAAGUACUUUCAGCGGGGAGGCGUUACCCGCAGAAGAAGCACCGGCUAACUCCGUGCCAGCAGCCGCGGUAAUAC
rnacentral:rRNA from 1 species